GAUGAGAUUUCAUCAAGACCAACUUCAGGUAUUAUGCUGUAAUGAUCACAUUUCAAUUUUCUUUAGUGAGGAGGGUAUUUAAAAUGAUACAUUUAAGAUAAUUUCUUUUUCUAUUUAGAUUCUAGCACUGGAUCAUGGUUACAUUUCUUGGACUUGGUAACAGUGCUAUCAUCCUUUCCUUAGGAGUACACAGUGAGGUUAAAAUUUAGGCUUGCAAUAGGAAGUGAUUAAUUGUGCACGCAGUCACAUGUGUCAUACAUUGAGAGGAAGGAAAACCAAAGUGGCAAAAGGCAAAGGGCUGAUUAAUCUAGAGGAAGAAUGUUUAAGGCAUUGUCAUUUAUAACUUUUCAGUAAGUUUGAAUUUUUCCAAAAUGAAAAGUUAAAGCAUAGCCUCUUCCAUUACAGCAAGUUUGUUGUUUGGGGAUAAGGUCUUAUAUAACCCAUGUUGGCAUCAGGGGACCGGAGAGACAGAUUAGUGGUUAAGAGCACUUACUGCUCUUGUAGAGGACCUAGGUUCAGUUGUAAGUACACACAGAGUUGAUUACAACUGUCUAUAACUCCAGUGCUAAGGGCCUUUCUUCUGGGACUCUGUGGGCACUUUUACACAUAUGGUGCACACAUGUACAUGCAGGCGAAACACCUGUACCCAUAAAACAAAAAUAAAGAGAUCUUUAAGAAGGGAUAAGAUGCAGCCGAGUUAUUUGAAGCUCUCUGCACAUGAACUAUGUCUGCUGUUGUAUUUUAACCUUGUGAAGGGGGCUGACAGGCGUGUGUUCUUGGUUCCUUGCAUCUGUGGUAUUUGAACAGUUGGGCAAACUUUCAAGGAAAUAAAGGAUAGCUUCCAGUUUUGUAGUCAACCUCUGACUGCAAGGCUGCUCCAUCACCACACAACCUCUGUCAUCUAUGGAGUCUAGCCCUGAAGGGGAUGAUCAGAGGUGCUUUGACCCUGAUUUGGCUGGGAGACCUGGUUGAAUAGGGGAGAGGCAGCAGAUCCAGGCGUCUGGUGGUUUAGGCUAGGCACCAAGACAAGCAGUUACCAGCCUGACAUUGGCCCAGAUGGUACGCAGGUUGCCUGGGCCCUGUGUCCAUAUCACCUGGAAUGCUGUAGUGCUCAAAUCUCUCAAAUUCAGAAUGACUUUUCAACAUGGAGGCAUUGCAUAACCUUUGUGUCAAAACACGUUAAGUACAUCAUUUAAGGAUGGCGUGUCCCAACAGUAUUUCACUAAAAUACUUGCAUUUCCCAUCUGAGGAAUUUCACUGGAAUACCAACCUUGUCAUACUUAGUUAACUUUCUGUUUGCUAACAUAAAUAUUUGUGUUUUGAUUCCAUUUUAAAAUAAAAAUAUUCUGACAAGUCUUUAUUGCGUCCUAUCGAAGGCAUUAUCAGCAAAAGAAGUAAGCAUAUGUUCCAAGUGCUUGGACUUCCAGCCUAGACAUUUUAGCAUUGACUGGCCGAUGAAUGCUAAUGUCUCUGAGUCAUAUGUAAGAAAAGAAUGUGUAUUUACAGAUGUUAGGUUCAUAACUUGUGUCUUAAACAUUUAAGGAUUUUCUGUGGCUUCUUUAAAAAUGACAGUUAUAUCAAGAUUUUAAAAGUGUGUUUGUGCUCUUCUGGUCCAGGUCCUGUUAGUGUUUACCAAAGAAGAUAGCCAGUGUAACGGAUUCCACAGGGCAUGUGAGAAAGCUGGGUUUAAGUGCACAGUCACCAAGGAGGUGCAGACUGUCCUUACCUGUUUCCAGGACAAACUCCAUGACAUCAUCAUCAUAGACCACAGAUAUCCCCGACAGAUGGAUGCAGAGACAUUGUGCAGGUAAGCCAGCAGUCCGUGACUGAGUUCCAUGGGUCCUUAUGACAGCCUAUAAACACACUAAGUUAAAUUCAAUCGCCCUUUCCUUGUAUGCAAAAUAAGCAAGGCAUUAUAACUUUGUUGUUUCUAGGGCUAAUCUUUAUUUCUUAAUUGUCUUGCUUGCUCUAUUUAAAACAGUAAGAAAUUGUCUUGCAUGCACAAAGCCUUGGGCUUGUUUCCCAACUUUACC
rnacentral:lncRNA from 1 species